GACGAACGCUGGCGGCGUGCUUAACACAUGCAAGUCGAACGGAAAGGCCCUGCUUGCGGGGUACUCGAGUGGCGAACGGGUGAGUAACACGUGGGUGAUCUGCCCUGCACUUCGGGAUAAGCCUGGGAAACUGGGUCUAAUACCGGAUAGGAGCCAUUUUUAGUGUGAUGGUUGGAAAGUUUUUUCGGUGUAGGAUGAGCUCGCGGCCUAUCAGCUUGUUGGUGGGGUAAUGGCCUACCAAGGCGGCGACGGGUAGCCGGCCUGAGAGGGUGGACGGCCACAUUGGGACUGAGAUACGGCCCAGACUCCUACGGGAGGCAGCAGUGGGGAAUAUUGCACAAUGGGCGCAAGCCUGAUGCAGCGACGCCGCGUGGGGGAUGACGGCCUUCGGGUUGUAAACUCCGUUCGCUAGGGACGAAGCUUUUUGUGACGGUACCUAGAUAAGAAGCACCGGCUAACUACGUG
rnacentral:rRNA from 1 species